GUGUAGGCAAUCUGGCUGUCACAUCUGUCACCCCACUGAUUGCCAGGGUUGAUUUGGCUGAUGUGACUGGCUACGCAGGUGUCCCUUUCCUCCCUCACUGAUAUAAGCCCAUGCCUCCUACGCUGCAUGCUCAUCGGAAAAGGAUGAGCUUAUUGGGAGAGGACCUGUCUUCAGUCACAGGACAGGAAUGACUGCACUCCUCUACUUCCAAAAUAGGCAAACAACUUCUCAAGCAUUUACAUAUCAUUUCAAAUAUUUAGGUACAAGUGGCUACAUUUUACAAUAUU
rfam:Canis lupus familiaris chromosome 15, whole genome shotgun sequence.